CGUCUUGUGUUGGUUUAGAAAGGAGAUCACACAUACAUACUACUGUAGUAGAUAUUACCUGAUCGAUCGAUAUGGCGUGCUACCAGCUGGAGAAUAGUGGCAGAAGACUGUCCAAGGUGUUGAUAUGCAUGUGGCUGCUGACGCUAUUUGCCCGGUCAUCUGAUGCAGAAGAGGUGGAAGGCUGUGAGUUCAAUCGGUGGAGCAAGACGUGGAGCAACAAGAUAUGCGUGGCGCGUGGAACUUGCAACACGCCGUGCAGAGCAGAGGGCUGGGAAAAGGGCGCCUGCUUCUUCAUCAAUCACUGCCUCUGCUACAAGAACUGCUCCCCGUCCCCGGCCCCGGUCUCGGCUAGCUAGUGAUUCGUGUAUGUACUCGCUAUUGUGAGGCAAAUUCAUCUUGCCUUUGUUCAGCAUGUAUGUAUGGCUUAAGACAAGAGUAAGUGGUCUUAUAUAGAUGCAGGGCAGGGCAGGGCAGGGCAGGGCAGGGCGUUGUGACUGCAUACAAUCUUUUUUUUGCAUAAUGAAUAAAGUUGGGGCAGUAUUCAUCAA